rnacentral:rRNA from 1 species
AGCGGCGGACGGGUGAGUAACGCGUGGGUAACCUGCCCUAUACACACGGAUAACAUACCGAAAGGUAUGCUAAUACGAGAUAAUAUAAGAGAUUCACAUGGAUUUCUUAUCAAAGCUGAGGCGGUAUAGGAUGGACCCGCGUCUGAUUAGCUAGUUGGUAAGGUAACGGCUUACCAAGGCGACGAUCAGUAGCCGACCUGAGAGGGUGAUCGGCCACAUUGGAACUGAGACACGGUCCAAACUCCUACGGGAGGCAGCAGUGGGGAAUAUUGCACAAUGGGCGAAAGCCUGAUGCAGCAACGCCGCGUGAGUGAUGAAGGCCUUCGGGUCGUAAAACUCUGACCUCAAGGGAGAUAAUGACGGUACUUGAGGAGGAAGCCCCGGCUAACUACGUGCCAGCAGCCGCGGUAAUACGUAGGGGGCUAGCGUUAUCCGGAUUUACUGGGCGUAAAGGGUGCGUAGGUGGUCUCUUAAGUCAGGAGUGAAAGGCUACGGCUUAACCGUAGUAAGCUCUUGAAACUGAGAGACUUGAGUGCAGGAGAGGAAAGUGGAAUUCCUAGUGUAGCGGUGAAAUGCGUAGAUAUUAGGAGGAACACCAGUAGCGAAGGCGGCUUUCUGGACUGUAACUGACACUGAGGCACGAAAGCGUGGGGAGCAAACAGGAUUAGAUACCCUGGUAGUCCACGCCGUAAACGAUGAGUACUAGGUGU